ACGGAAGGCAGCAGUGGGGAAUAUUGCACAAUGGGCGCAAGCCUGAUGCGGCGAUGCCGCGUGAGGGAAGAAGGUUUUCGGAUUGUAAACCUCUGUCAACAGGGACGAAAAUGACGGUACCUGUGAAGGAAGUUCCGGCUAACUACGUGCCAGCAGCCGCGGUAAUACGUAGGGAGCAAGCGUUAUCCGGAAUUACUGGGUGUAAAGGGAGUGUAGGCGGGACUGUAAGUCAGAUGUGAAAUAUGCCGGCUCAACUGGCAGACUGCAUUUGAAACUGCGGUUCUUGAGUGAAGUAAAGGUAAGCGGAAUUCCUAGUGUAGCGGUGAAAUGCGUAGAUAUUAGGAGGAACAUCAGUGGCGAAGGCGGCUUACUGGGCUUUAACUGACGCUGAGGCUCGAAAGCGUGGGGAGCAAACAGGAUUAGAUACCCUGGUA
rnacentral:rRNA from 1 species